CGCGGCCUAUCAGCUUGUUGGUGAGGUAAUGGCUUACCAAGGCUUCGACGGGUAACCGGCCUGAGAGGGUGACCGGUCACACUGGGACUGAGACACGGCCCAGACUCCUACGGGAGGCAGCAGUGGGGAAUAUUGCACAAUGGGCGAAAGCCUGAUGCAGCGACGCCGCGUGGGGGAUGACGGCCUUCGCGUUGUAAACCUCUUUCGCCAGGGACGAAGAGCAAUUGACGGUACCUGGAGAAGAAGCACCGGCCAACUACGUGCCAGCAGCCGCGGUAACACGUAGGGUGCGAGCGUUGUCCGGAAUUAUUGGGCGUAAAGAGCUCGUAGGCGGUGUGUCGCGUCGGCCGUGAAAACUUGGGGCUUAACUCUGAGCGUGCGGUCGAUACGGGCAUCACUUGAGUUCGACAGGGGAGACUGGAAUUCCUGGUGUAGCGGUGAAAUGCGCAG
rnacentral:rRNA from 1 species